rnacentral:rRNA from 1 species
GAUGAACGCUGGCGGUAUGCUUAACACAUGCAAGUCGAACGGACUCUUCGGAGUUAGUGGCGGACGGGUGAGUAACGCGUGAGAAUCUGGCUUUGGGUUCGGGACAACCACUGGAAACGGUGGCUAAUACCGGAUGUGCCGAGAGGUAAAAGAGAAAUUGCCUGAAGAUGAGCUCGCGUCUGAUUAGCUAGUUGGUGAGGUAAAGGCUCACCAAGGCAGCGAUCAGUAGCUGGUCUGAGAGGAUGACCAGCCACACUGGGACUGAGACACGGCCGAGACGCCUACGGGAGGCAGGAGUGGGGAAUGUUCCGCAAUGGGCGAAAGCCUGACGGAGCAAUACCGCGUGAGGGAAGAAGGCUCUUGGGUUGUAAACCUCUUUUCUUAGGGAAGAACAAAAUGACGGUACCUAAGGAAUAAGCAUCGGCUAACUCCGUG